AUAACAAUCUUGAAUAUUUUGCAGCCUCAUUUCCAACAGCAAACACCACUGUUGAAUUCUGGAAGGAGCACACCUGUGCUUCAAAAUCAUGUGUUGCCACCUGCUUUCAAGCCGCUCUUCGAAUUUUUCUGAAUAUUCCUAUUUAAAUUUGAUUUUAUCUUAUAAUGCAUAUUGUUUAUAUCUAUAUUUUUACUUAUAAAAUUUUUGUGAGCGUGUCCAUUGGACUGCGUUUUUAUGAAUCUUAUAAUUACUUUUGUAGUAUUAUUGUAUAUCUUGUUUCAUUGUUGUUUUCUGAAAAUCAUUGAUGCAUUCUUCGAUUCUACAACACAUAUUGUUUUACCUGGAAAUUUUUUUCUACAGUUAUCCUAAUUGUCUUUCUCGUCACAUUUUAUUCGAUUGUAAAUUAUUGCCCAGAUCCCGAUUUUAUUCGUUGUCUAAUUCACUGCGUUCUGAAUCAUUUUAUGAUCUAAAUUUAUUAUUUUGAGGCAAUUUAUUCACAUUUGUGGAAUUGUUGGUAUUCAUGAAACCAAAAUAGGCAAUUUUAUCAGAGAUUUAACAGAUACAGGAAAUGAUGCAAUUCUCUCUGCUUAUCGAUUACAGUGUCGGUCAAUUUGGAAUUAUACAGGAAAGAAUGUGUCAAUGAAUAUAUUGUUUUAUUCAUAUUUUAUCUUCAUAUGACUUGAAUGUUCUUCUGUAUUGUGUAUGUAACUUCUGCUUUUAUUAUUAUGUAUUAUCAUUUCAAAUGUAUUACUCAUGUUAUUGAAUAUGUAGUUCUUAAAUAAAAAUUUUUGUACCA